GGAUUGUAGCUCAGUGGUAGAGCACUUGCCUAGCACAUGUGAGGCCCUGGGUUCAAUCCUCAGCACCA
rnacentral:tRNA from 1 species